AUUGAACGCUGGCGGCAUGCUUUACACCUGCAAGUCGGACGAGUGGCGAACGGGUGAGUAAUAUAUUGGAACGUACCGAGAAAUGGGGGAUAACCAAUCGGAAGAUUGGCUAAUACCGCAUAUUAUUCGAGCGCACCAUAUCGGAUUGGCUAGUGGGGGGGGUAAAGGACUCCAAAGGCGAAGAUCACGAGCGGGUCUGAGAGGAGGGUCCGCCACACUGGGACUUAGACACGGCCCAGACUCCUACGGGAGGCAGCAGUGGGGAAUUUUGGACAAGGGGCGCAAGCCUGAUCCAGCCAUGCCGCGUGUCUGAAGAAGGCCUUCGGGUUGUAAAGGACUUUUGUUAGGGAAGCGGUACCUAAAGAAUAAGCACCGGCGAACUACGUGCCAGCAGCCGCGGUAAUAC
rnacentral:rRNA from 1 species